rnacentral:tRNA from 1 species
GGUGUGUGGGUCAGUGGUAAGAGCACAGGACUGCCAUGCCUGAGGUCCCAGGUUCCAUCCCUGGUACCA